UAACUGCAACCACAAUCAAGAAAUAACCAUCACUAUUAUCCAUUCAUCUUAGUUGAAAACAAUAGUAUUUAUGCAUCAUGGAUUAACCACUAAAAAGCAUGAAUUUUGUGGUGAAACUAUACAACUAGGCCCUGCUUGUUUGGGCUGCAAAAAAGGCAAAUCUUUAUCCAUCUAUGAUUAUUAGAGUGGUCCCUCCCAAAUUUACUUUUUGAUUUGAAUGGUCCCCCGAACUAAUCUAACCCCCCACCUAAACCCUUAGGUAAGUAUGAGAUAAAUCAUAGAUGUCCCCUACUAAGUUUAUGAUUAGAAAAAGGUGUGAAAUUUUUGCACUUUUGAAAUAACACCAAUCUUCAUAAACCUUAUGAUUAGAAAAAGGUGUGAAAUUUUUGCACUUUUGAAAUAACACCAAUCUUCGUAAACCUAAUUAUCAAGAGUUUUGAGUAUAUUAAAUUAGGCUAAAUUUUUGCGGGGUAACCAAGCAGACUGAUCCCAGAUGGAUGUCGUUGAGUAAUUUGUACGGAAGAUGGUUAAGAACAAUAGGUAUAUGUUGUUAAAAUUUUCUCCAUAGUCAGAGCGAUUCAAAAUCAACUUAAAAGUGUGUACUGCAUGUGACUUAAACAUAUCCUCGUGUUCUAGGAAGUUCUGCUUCAGAGUUCAGUACCUCU
rnacentral:lncRNA from 1 species